rnacentral:rRNA from 1 species
CCCUAUUAUUGAAAAAGUAAAUAAAAAAUACUAAAAUAUUAUAUAAUUAUUUAUUGAAACUUAAAUAAUUUGGCGGUAUUUUAGUUCAUUUAGAGGAAUCUGUUUAAUAAUUGAUAAUCCACGAAUAAAUUUACUUAAUUUAAAAUUUUGUAUAUCGUUGUUAUAUAAAUAUUUUUAAAUAAUUAAUAAUAUUUAAAAAUUUAAUUAAAAAAUUAAAUUAGAUCAAGAUGCAGAUUAUAAUUAAGUAUAUAAUGGAUUACAAUAAAAAUAUUUAAGA